CCAACGGCCCUCUUUAGGGCCACAAAUUAUCCAAUAAUCCAAAUAU
rfam:Caenorhabditis brenneri strain PB2801 C_brenneri-6.0.1_Cont128.10, whole genome shotgun sequence.